rnacentral:rRNA from 1 species
AUUGAACGCUGGCGGCAGGCUUAACACAUGCAAGUCGAGCGGGGAAAGGUAGCUUGCUCCCUAACCUAGCGGCGGACGGGUGAGUAAUGCUUAGGAAUCUGCCUAUUAGUGGGGGACAACAUCUCGAAAGGGAUGCUAAUACCGCAUACGUCCUACGGGAGAAAGCAGGGGACCUUCGGGCCUUGCGCUAAUAGAUGAGCCUAAGUCGGAUUAGCUAGUUGGUGGGGUAAAGGCCUACCAAGGCGACGAUCUGUAGCGGGUCUGAGAGGAUGAUCCGCCACACUGGGACUUAGACACGGCCCAGACUCCUACGGGAGGCAGCAGUGGGGAAUAUUUGACAAUGGGGGGAACCCUGAUCCAGCCAUGCCGCGUGUGUGAAGAAGGCCUUUUGGUUGUAAAGCACUUUAAGCGAGGAGGAGGCUACCGAGAUUAAUACUCUUGGAUAGUGGACGUUACUCGCAGAAUAAGCACCGGCUAACUCUGUG